CAGCCGCCGCGGGAAUACGGAGGGUGCAAGCGUUACUCGGAAUCACUGGGCGUAAAGGACGCGUAGGCGGAUUACCAAGUCUCUUGUGAAAUCUAACGGCUUAACCGUUAAACUGCUUGGGAAACUGAUAAUCUAGAGUAAGGGAGAGGCAGAUGGAAUUCUUGGUGUAGGGGUAAAAUCCGUAGAUAUCAAGAAGAAUACCUAUUGCGAAGGCGAUCUGCUGGAACUUAACUGACGCUAAUGCGUGAAAGCGUGGGGAGCAAACAGGAUUAGAUACCCCGGUAGUCCCUGUCUCUUAUAC
rnacentral:rRNA from 1 species